rnacentral:lncRNA from 1 species
AAAUUAAACCCUCUUUUUAAUAAUUGUAGUAUGGAUAAGUAGGGAUCAUUCUAGGCCGGGGAUUAGAAGGGACUGCUAAUCUACUCAAAUUAGACUCAAUUACACUUAACUAGACUUUAAAAACACUAAACUAGACUCUUAUGACUCAAACUACUCCAAACUACACAAAACAAACAAAUUGACUCAAAACUAACACUAAGGAUGACUUUGGACGAAGUUUGAACUAAAAAGACUCAAAACAUUAAAAAGACACCAAUUGGACAUAUUCUAACCUAAAAACACGAAAUAGAAAAUGGGGGUUGGUUUUUGAGGAAUUUAAAACUUAAACUAAAUACUUGCAGACACAAACUAAAGAUAAUAUGAAAUUGGACGUUUUUAAGAGGUGAAUGGCUAGCUAGAGGGUCCUUCUCCACACAUGACACAUACGCAUACGAAUCGAUUUCCAGUUAUUCUUCCUAUAAACCAUGAAUGACACUGGCCCAGAUUAACCGUAAAUAACACUAAUUAACCCUUAGAUUUUCCUAAGUUCAUUGAAUUGGACUCAGCGUCGCAACCAAAUUAUUCUUAUCAAGUUCCCUACACGAACAACAUGAUAGAGAUACAUAUCAAAGAUCAUUAAGUUCUAUGAAAAUCAUAAGCAUUGACAAGGUAUUCGUAACUAUGAACAGCAUGAUACUCAUGCCAGGAAUUCACUUAACACGAUCAUGACCAGUGACCUCCACUACUAUUAAAUAUAAGUUCAUAACUAUAAGGUGAAACUCCCUUAUAUUUUAGCAUCAAAUUCAUGCAUGCAAACUAAGUAUGCAUCCUUAAUCAACAUACAAGAACAAGUUCUGAAUUAAACAGUUAAGCAAAUUGCAUUCACGAUUCAUGAAAUUAUAACUGGAAGUAAUCAAUCCAUAUGCAAUAUAUGUUCAUGGCUUUGAAUUCUCCUCUAGCGAAAACGAGUUUAGUUCCUCAUGUUCUCACUUAAACAAAGAUAACUUAAAUUAAAUAUUGAAAAUAAAAGAUAGAAAGCACCUAAGAAUGCUCCAGCAAUCCAAGGGUCUUGAAUGGCAAGGCACGGCAAAGGGGCUCCUAUCCGUUCUCCCUUGCAAAGCUGUGGCACAAUAGGGAUUUCUGAGUAUGAUGGAUGUAUGGUGCGAAUUUGUGGUGCGAGAUGGUUAAUUAUGAGUGCUGUAGCAUAAUAUAUUUAUAGCGAGAGGGGAAGGCACAACAUAGGCUGAGAAGGAAGGGAAUUAGGACUCCAAAUUAGCAAGGAAAGAGGACACUUCUCAUCAAACAGAUUCCAGAGAGGAAAAGAAUUAAUGUGUUUAGAUGGAUUCAGACUCCUAAAUUCAGAUGGGAAGGAUUUAGAAUAGGAUAAGGACUCCUUUUGUAGCUGGAGAAAAGUUUAGAUAAUGUUGGAUUAAAUAGGAUAAUGUUUGGAUAAUAUGGGAUAAGAUAAGAUAAGGUUAGUUUGGAUAAGAUAAGGUUGGAUAAUGUUUUGGAUAAUGUUCCUUCUUUUUGGCUGAUUCCUUAUCUUCUUUAUCUUGAAUUCAUUUUCUUUAUCUCUUCAGCAUAUUCCUAGACUCUUUGAACUUCAAAAAUGUCCAUCCACCUUGCUCCAUUCAUAUGCUAUCCAUUCUUGUCCCAAAACUGCUCCAAAUUGCACUUUCCUGACAACUUUGUCAUUUGGACCUACAAACACACGAAAAUAGCUUAAAUCACUAUAAUAAAUAGAAACUAGCUAUGAAAAUGCAAGAAAACAAGCUAACUAAGUCGCAUAAAUAUGCUCCUAUCACCCCUACGUGCGAUAGUGAAGGAUUUGGAAAUUGCAUCUUCUUUAUUCAUUUUUUUUUUUUUUAUUUUUUUUUUUGUUUGAAACUUUUUAAUUUUUUUUCUUGUUUUGCAAUUCCAGCACAUGUUACAUCGGUACACGCCGCAUUCUUGAUCUAGAGCUCAAUCUAUCUUUGUCUUCAUCACUUUGGUAUUCUCCAAACUAUAAGGUAUGGAUGUAAUGGGCUAAGAUGGGUAGAGUUUGGUGAAGGUGAUGAAAGAAUCAGGUUAAAAGUGUUUGGAUGCAAAAAAGAUGAAUGGAACACACAAAGGCCAUUUGGUGGUUAAAACAUGCAUAGCCUAACAUCGUCUCAACGAGUUUAUUCAUAAGUGAUAAUAAACACAUGGUAUCUGCAAUAGAGAAUUAUGUUGGAAAUAUGCCCUGAAAGUCAAUCUUUGGAAGAAACCUUUCAGGACAAAUGAAUCAAUGUAUGGAUGACUCUUAUACAUCAAAUGGCAAAGAUACUAAUUAGGACUAUCUCAAUAAACGAUAUAU